rnacentral:rRNA from 1 species
AGCGAACGCUGGCGGCAGGCCUAACACAUGCAAGUCGAACGAACCUUUCGGGGUUAGGGGCGGACGGGGGAGGAACACGUGGGAACGUGCCUUUAGGUACGGAAUAACUCAGGGAAACUUGUGCUAAUACCGCAUGUGCCCUUCCGGGGAAAGAUUUGUUGCCUUUAGAGCGGCCCGUGACUGUUUAGCUGGUUGGGUGGGGUAAUGGCUCACCAAGGCGACGAUCUGUAGCUGGUGUGGGAGGAUGAUCAGCCACAUUGGGAGUGAGACACGGUCCACACCCCUACGGAGCGCUGCAGUGUAGAACCUUGCGCACUGGACCAAAGUCUAACGCAGCCAUGCCGCGUGAAUGAUGAAUGGCUUAGUAUUGUACAAUUCUUUCACCCGAGACGUUAAUGACGGUACCCGGUGAAGAAGCCCCGGCUAACUUCGUG